rnacentral:rRNA from 1 species
AGAGUUUGAUCAUGGCUCAGGAUGAACGCUAGCGGCAGGCUUAACACAUGCAAGUCGAGGGGUAUAGGUUUUCGGACCUAGAGACCGGCGCACGGGUGCGUAACGCGUAUGCAAUCUACCUUUUACAGAGGGAUAGCCCAGAGAAAUUUGGAUUAAUACCUCAUAGUAUUAUUGAAUGGCAUCAUUUAAUAAUUAAAGUCACAACGGUAAAAGAUGAGCAUGCGUCCCAUUAGCUAGUUGGUAAGGUAACGGCUUACCAAGGCAACGAUGGGUAGGGGUCCUGAGAGGGAGAUCCCCCACACUGGUACUGAGACACGGACCAGACUCCUACGGGAGGCAGCAGUGAGGAAUAUUGGUCAAUGGGCGCAAGCCUGAACCAGCCAUGCCGCGUGCAGGAUGAAGCAUCUAUGGUGUGUAACUGCUUUUGUACGAGAAGAAACACUACUUCGUGAAGUAGCUUGACGGUAUCGUAAGAAUAAGGACCGGCUACUCCGUGCCAGCAGCCGCGGUAAUACGGAGGGUCCAAGCGUUAUCCGGAAUCAUUGGGUUUAAAGGGUCCGUAGGCGGUUUUGUAAGUCAGUGGUGAAAGCCCAUCGCUCAACGGUGGAACGGCCAUUGAUACUGCAAGACUUGAAUUAUUAGGAAGUAACUAGAAUAUGUAGUGUAGCGGUGAAAUGCUUAGAUAUUACAUGGAAUACCAAUUGCGAAGGCAGGUUACUACUAAUGGAUUGACGCUGAUGGACGAAAGCGUGGGGAGCGAACAGGAUUAGAUACCCUAGUAGUCC